GCCUAGCCCUAAACCUUGGUAAUAUAUCACAUACCCUACCCGCCUGGGAACUACGAGCACCAGCUUAAAACCCAAAGGACUUGGCGGUGCUUUAGACCCCCCUAGAGGAGCCUGUUCUAGAACCGAUAACCCCCGUUCAACCUCACCCUUCCUUGUUUAUCCCGCCUAUAUACCGCCGUCGUCAGCUUACCCUGUGAAGGCCUAAAAGUAAGCACAACUGGCACAACCCAAAACGUCAGGUCGAGGUGUAGCGCAUGGAGGGGGAAGAAAUGGGCUACAUUCCCUAUGCUAGGGAACACGAACGGCGCACUGAAACACGCGCCUGAAGGAGGAUUUAGUAGUAAGCGGAAAAUAGCGUGUUCCGCUGAAAUCGGCCCUGAAGCGCGC
rnacentral:rRNA from 1 species